rnacentral:rRNA from 1 species
UACAGAGGUCUCAAGCGUUGUUCGGAUUCAUUGGGCGUAAAGGGUGCGUAGGUGGCGCCAUAAGUCAGGUGUGAAAUCUCGGGGCUCAACCCCGAAACUGCACUUGAUACUGUGGUGCUCGAGUACUGGAGAGGAGAUUGGAAUUUACGGUGUAGCAGUGAAAUGCGUAGAUAUCGUAAGGAAGACCAGUGGCGAAGGCGAGUCUCUGGACAGUUACUGACACUGAGGCACGAAGGCCAGGGGAGCAAACGGG